rnacentral:lncRNA from 1 species
CUUAAAUAAGAGAGAAUUCCUCCUGCCUACCUUCAAGCUGGAACAUCUUUUCCCCCCCUGCCUUUGGAUUCAGACUGAAGCAUCAGCUUUUCCUGGGUCUAGAGCCUGCUGGCCUUUGGACUAGAACCACGCUAUCAGCUCUCCUGGGUCCCCAGCUUGCUGACUGCCAAUCUUAGGACUUGUCAACCACCAUAGUCUUUAAGGGAGAAGGGAAAUGCUCACCAGCCAGCAGACAGACGACCACCACACCCUGGUUCCUUAACACGCCAAGGUUCUGUGGUUUCUUUUACACUCAAGAGGACAACCUGAGAGCCUCUGGUCAGCAGGGGAGUCACAGCCUCUGGACUCGCAGGGCAAAGAAGUCUUCUGAAGCACAAACAGUUCAACCUCUCUGCAUUGAGAGAAGUCAAGCCUUAAUCAUUGUCGCUCAUUCAUCCAUGUUGCUGCAUCAAGCUGAAGUUUAUCCAUUUUGAUUGCUGUA